rnacentral:rRNA from 1 species
UACCAGCACCCCGAGUGGUCGGGACGAUUAUUGGGCCUAAAGCAUCCGUAGCCGGUUUUACAAGUCCUCCGUUAAAUCCAGCUGCUUAACAGAUGGGCUGCGGAGGAUACUAUAAGACUAGGAGGCAGGAGAGGCAAGCGGUACUCAGUGGAUAGGGGUAAAAUCCGUUGAUCCAUUGAAGACCACCAGUGGCGAAGGCGGCUUGCCAGAAUGCGCUCGACGGUGAGGGAUGAAAGCUGGGGGAGCAAACCGG